rnacentral:rRNA from 1 species
UAGGGAAUCUUCCACAAUGGACGCAAGUCUGAUGGAGCAACGCCGCGUGAGUGAAGAAGGUUUUCGGACCGUAAAGCUCUGUUGUUGGUGAAGAAGGAUAGAGGUAGUAACUGGCCUUUAUUUGACGGUAAUCAACCAGAAAGUCACGGCUAACUACGUGCCAGCAGCCGCGGUAAUACGUAGGUGGCAAGCGUUGUCCGGAUUUAUUGGGCGUAAAGCGAGCGCAGGCGGAAGAAUAAGUCUGAUGUGAAAGCCCUCGGCUUAACCGAGGAAUUGCAUCGGAAACUGUUUUCUUGAGUGCAGAAGAGGAGAGUAGAACUCCAUGUGUAGCGGUGGAAUGCGUAGAUAUAUGGAAGAAUACCAGUGGCGAAGGCGGCUCUCUGGUCUGCAACUGACGCUGAGGCUCGAAAGCAUGGGUAGCGAACAGGAUUAGAUACCCUUGGUAGUCCAUGCCGUAAACGAUGAGUGCUAAGUGUUG